rnacentral:rRNA from 1 species
UACAGAGGGGGCAAGCGUUGUUCGGAAUUACUGGGCGUAAAGGGCGCGUAGGCGGCCUGUUAAGUCGAACGUGAAAUCCCCGGGCUCAACCCGGGAACUGCGUCCGAUACUGGUAGGCUUGAAUCCGGGAGAGGGAUGCGGAAUUCCAGGUGUAGCGGUGAAAUGCGCAGAUAUCAGGAGGAACACCAGCGGCGAAGGCGGCGCUCUGGGCCGGUACUGACGCUGAGGAGCGAAAGCGUGGGGAUCAAACAGG